GUUGAAGGUUGGGUAACACUAACUGGAGGACCGAACCGACUAAUGUUGAAAAAUUAGCGGAUGACUUGUGGCUGGGGGUGAAAGGCCAAUCAAACCGGGAGAUAGCUGGUUCUCCCCGAAAGCUAUUUAGGUAGCGCCUCGUGAACUCAUCUCCGGGGGUAGAGCACUGUUUCGGCAAGGGGGUCAUCCCGACUUACCAACCCGAUGCAAACUGCGAAUACCGGAGAAUGUUAUCACGGGAGACACACGGCGGGUGCUAACGUCCGUCGUGAAGAGGGAAACAACCCAGACCGCCAGCUAAGGUCCCAAAGUCAUGGUUAAGUGGGAAACGAUGUGGGAAGGCCCAGACAGCCAGGAUGUUGGCUUAGAAGCAGCCAUCAUUUAAAGAAAGCGUAAUAGCUCACUGGUCGAGUCGGCCUGCGCGGAAGAUGUAACGGGGCUAAACCAUGCACCGAAGCUGCGGCAGCGACGCUUAUGCGUUGUUGGGUAGGGGAGCGUUCUGUAAGCCUGUGAAGGUGUACUGUGAGGUAUGCUGGAGGUAUCAGAAGUGCGAAUGCUGACAUAAGUAACGAUAAAGCGGGUGAAAAGCCCGCUCGCCGGAAGACCAAGGGUUCCUGUCCAACGUUAAUCGGGGCAGGGUGAGUCGACCCCUAAGGCGAGGCCGAAAGGCGUAGUCGAUGGGAAACAGGUUAAUAUUCCUGUACUUGGUGUUACUGCGAAGGGGGGACGGAGAAGGCUAUGUUGGCCGGGCGACGGUUGUCCCGGUUUAAGCGUGUAGGCUGGUUUUCCAGGCAAAUCCGGAAAAUCAAGGCUG
rnacentral:rRNA from 1 species